GGCUGGUCUGAAGGUAGUAAGCUCUCUCAGUUGAUUAUUCAGUCAGUUACAGAUUGAAUUCCUUGUUCUUCUCUUUUCCUCCUUCUCACUACUGCACUUGACUAGCCUUAA
rnacentral:Y_RNA from 1 species